rfam:Corynebacterium resistens DSM 45100, complete genome.
ACUCGGGCACGACCGCAUUUCACAUUCGAUUUACGGACCGACCCGAUGUGAUCAACCUGAGGGA